CUCCUUGCCUCCGCACACCGCCACCCACCCACCGACUCGUCCCUCCCACAGCACGCGGAACGCCUCCUCCCUGAUCCAACGCGCCAUAGUCUCCUCCCCGAUCUAGAUCCAACGCGUCGCCGCCUCCUCCCCGAUCCAGAUCGACACGCCGGCUCUCUCACCUUGCCAGCAGGUCCCUCCACCAUCGCCCCCCUCCUCCCCCUGCCCCGGCCACCCUCCCGUCCGCCACCCCCGCCUGCUCUGCCUACUGCACCGCCGCCUCUGAUGCCAUGGCGGACGCCGACAGCAGCAGCAACACGCUGCUCGCCGACUUCGACUUCCCGCCCUUCGACCGCGUCGAGCCCGCGCACGUCCGUCCUGGGAUCCGCGCGCUCCUCGCCCGCCUCGAGGGUGAGCUGGAGGAGCUCGAGAAGGGCGUGGAGCCGGCGUGGGAGUGCUUGGUCCACCCGCUCGAGCGCAUCGUCGACAGGCUUGACAUUGUCUAGAACAUCGUCGACCACAUCAAGGCCGUCAAGGACUCGCCCGACCUCUGCACCGCCGUCGAGGACGUCCAGAUAGUCUCUUCUUCUGUCACGCUACCCGUGAUUUGGAUGGACGAAGCAGUUGAUUUGUUAGCGCAUCAUCAGAUGAUGUCUCUGUAUUUCGUCUUGCUCCUUGAAUUAUCUAGCAAUAUGGUGCAUAGAUAGAAAUUUCUCAUAGAUCCUGGUUUCAUGCUUGCACCUUUGGUAUGCAUGGUUUUUGUGGGGAUAUGGUACCGGACUAGAGCGUAGAGGCUGAUGAUUUCUGGAUGCAUACAGAUUGUGGAUGCCAUGUCUGAAACCGUUCAAUUUUGGAUGACUCAAACCGGCUCUAGCUAGCAAUCUCUCUCUCCAUCUCUGUGUAUGUGCGCGCCUGUGCAUCCAUUGCAUGUAAAAUCACAUUUUUCAAACUCUUCUACUGUCGGAUAGACUGACCUUGAAUGCACCAACACAUUGUGUCAGUUUUCCAUGCUCUGUCUAGUACUAGUUCCUAACUUCCUAUACAUAUAGGAGUAUUCUGCUUGCUUUGGUUGCCAAACCAAAAUACCAUGGCUGGGUGACGUCCGUCUGUCCUGGGUUACAUUAGCAUACUAAUACAACACAGCUAGUCAUAACAAGGUUAGUUCAUCAUAUACUGCGCUUGAUAUAAAUGUUUAGCUUCUAACAAAAAGUAAUUUGGGAAUAAAUUCUUCCAUCAGUUUAAUAUGAUUUCUGUUGAUAGAUUUGUCUAGAACUGUUGAAAUUGUGUGCAACACAGUAUACUGUUGGGUUCUCACCCAUAACAUGAGGAUAUCUAUUUUUCAAAUGUGGAAGCCAUCAUAACAUCAGCUGGUCAUAGUUAUACGCAUUGUUUCACUUUUUCUUCUUUGAAUUUCACAUUGCAGUUCUUUGUUGUAAGAUAAUGCACAUGUAUCAAUACCAAAUAUGGAAAGCUUUAGUAAAAGAUGUUAACAUGCUCAUCAUAUGCUAUCUGAUUCUGAGUCGAUUUAGAUUAAUUAUGACUUUGUCAUUCUGCUUUAUGAUUUACUCAAUCACUGUUGUUUCAUGAUGAUUAUGCAGUAAUGCUCCUCUUCUUCCUCGACCACCUAAACCACCACGCCGGCGGGCUCCUGAAGCAUCAACUUCAAUAACGUGUGCUUUGAAACGUAGGGGUGAAUCUUGUGGAGGAGUAGGGCGAAUCGGACAUUGUCUCGCUUGUGCCACUAUGAUAACAUGCUGAAUGUUGUUCAUGCGACUGUGUAUGAAUCUUCUGUAUGUGCAGAUUAUCAGGCAUUGUUUAAUGCUACUGAGGGUGUAACAGAGAAAAAUCAGUUUGAUGUAUGGAUGCUUCAUGCAGUGGUAGCUAAUGAUCUCUGUACUGAUGACAGUUUUGUGGUAAGUGUACUAUGGUAAAAUGCAGAUGUUGAUUAUUUCCUUGACCCAAGAGAGAGCAAUGAAGUCCAUUGCACUAUUAGGAAAUCCCCUCUAUUUCAUAAUUGUAUUGUUAUAUAUUCCCCCCAAUUCCUGCUAUAUUCCUGUGUAAGGAAAUGUAUUCCUGAGAUGAUCUAUUGUGUUAUGUAAUCUGGAGAGAUGUUUUACGUGAUGUGAUAUGAU
rnacentral:rRNA from 1 species